GCAAAAUGACUUUCUUAAUAAGAAGUGAGGGAGCAGUGCUCCUCUGUGACCCUUCUCUACACCACAGAUGAUUGAUUGCU